rnacentral:rRNA from 1 species
UACGUAGGGGGCAAGCGUUGUCCGGAAUCAUUGGGCGUAAAGAGCGUGUAGGCGGCUCGGUAAGUCCGCUGUGAAAGUCCAGGGCUCAACCCUGGAAUGCCGGUGGAAACUGUCGAGCUAGAAUCCGGAAGAGGCGAGUGGAAUCCUGGUGUAGCGGUGAAAUGCGCAGAUAUCAGGAGGAACACCAGUGGCGAAGGCGACUCUUGGCCGUA